CAGCCGCCGCGGGAACACGUAGGGUGCAAGCGUUAAUCGGAAUUACUGGGCGUAAAGCGUGCGCAGGCGGUUUGUCAAGACAGAUGUGAAAUCCCCGGGCUCAACCUGGGAACUGCAUUUGUGACUGGCAAGCUAGAGUGUGGCAGAGGGGGGUGGAAUUCCGCGUGUAGCAGUGAAAUGCGUAGAUAUGCGGAGGAACACCGAUGGCGAAGGCAGCCCCCUGGGCCAACACUGACGCUCAUGCACGAAAGCGUGGGGAGCAAACAGGAUUAGAUACCCCGGUAGUCCCUGUCUCUUAUAU
rnacentral:rRNA from 1 species